UAUUACUUCUUUUUGAAAAAAAAAUACUGCUAUUACUAAUUACUUAUUCUUACAAGAAAAGAAAAAUUGGCCAUAGUACACCGUUAUUUUCUGACCUGCACCGAAACACACCACCGGAUUGCGCCAUUGCCCGAUAUCAUUACAAUUCCGUGCUCAUUUGUCAUAACACACGACCUGGCCUAAGACGGAAAAUUUCACUUUUUCCAUAAUACCCCAGAAUUUCCUCUAAUCCCUUUUUUUUCUUCCCCUCUUGUCCUUUCUCCUCCCACAGAGUGUAGCAACGGCCACGAAACCUAGCGAGCUGUUAUGUUAUAUCUUCUAUGAGUUAAACAUGUGUUCAAUUUGAAGUAUAUGCCUGAAUUUUAAGCCUAUGAUUCUCUGGAAUGAUAUAGUAAUUUGACUUGAUGCUAAAUGCUGACCAAUUUUGUAAUCAAAUAAUGCGAAAAGUUGACACUUACUAGGGCCGAAAUUUCACAUAGAGAAAAAAAACUGUUCGAAGAUGUCAUCCCCCAAGCAAUAAACGUCAUCCAAAGGAAGAAAAAGAAAGUCUCACUUUCUGUUUUGAGCCAUGCGGUGUGUUGUGACAAAUGGUCAAGAAAUUGUAAUGAUACUGAUCAAAAAGACGCAAUCCGACGGUGUUUUCGGCAAAAUCCAAAAAAUAACGGUGUGGCAUGACCAAUUUCCUCAAAAAAACAAAAAGCCCAAAGAGAAAGGCGCGUGAGAAAAGGCGAAGGCAGAAGGACACGACGCCUCGCAUUCAAUUCGGCCGCACUCCACGACGCUUCGUCUACCGCCCGAUCGAUCUCAUCUCAAUUCUGAGAAGGUGAAUAUCAGGUGAAAACCCUCAUUCGGUGCAAACCGUGAAAACUCCACCAAAAAAAGUUCAAAAAAUUCUCAAUAAAAUCACAUAUGUUAGAAAAGUAAUGCUAGAAAUAUGUGUUAAAUUUCAAGUCCAAACUCAAUUUCAUUUGGUAAC
rnacentral:lncRNA from 1 species